rnacentral:rRNA from 2 species
AUCCCAGGACCGGCCCGGAGACGGGUCUUUCACUUCGGUGACCUGGAGACAGGUGCUGCAUGGCUGUCGUCAGCUCGUGUCGUGAGAUGUUCGGUUAAGUCCGGCAACGAGCGCAACCCACACUUCCAGUUGCCAUCAUUUGGUUGGGCACUCUGGAAGAACUGCCGAUGAUAAGUCGGAGGAAGGUGUGGAUGACGUCAAGUCCUCAUGGCCCUUACGGGUUGGGCUACACACGUGCUACAAUGGUGGUGACAGUGGGUUAAUCCCCAAAAGCCAUCUCAGUUCGGAUUGGGGUCUGCAACUCGACCCCAUGAAGUUGGAAUCGCUAGUAAUCGCGGAACAGCAUGCCGCGGUGAAUACGUUCCCGGGCCUUGUACACACCGCCCGUCACACCAUGGGAGUUGGGUCUACCCGACGGCCGUGCGCUAACCAGCAAUGGGGGCAGCGGACCACGGUAGGCUCAGCGACUGGGGUGAAGUCGUAACAAGGUAGCCGUAGGGGAACCUGCGGCUGGAUCACCUCCUUUCU